AUGCUGAAACUGAGUACCUGGUCUGACUUUGGGCCAAAGCUAAAUCUCUUUAACAGCAUCCUUUACUGAAGCAACAUUGUCACAGAAUCUGCUGAAGCAGCAAGAAAAAAGAGGUCAGCAGUAUGACCAAGCUGCAUAAUUUCUUAGGCAGGCAGGAGUGCAUCACUACUGAGGGCAAAUGGACACUCACUAGCAAGGUGGCUGAAAAGAACUGUUCUUGAAAGAACCCAAGUGAAAACUUCCAGGAGGAAACCAAACAGAAAAUUUAUGUGGAUUUUUCCAUGUUUUCUACAGAAAAUGCACCCCAUCAUUGCCUAUACCCCACCCAAGUGGACUGCUCAUUCUGUUUUUUCCUAAGGAUGCUAUGAAUCAUGUUUCACAGAUAAGUUUUAGCAACUGAAAGUUUGGAGUCAAAUCUGUAUGCCUCUUUGUCUCCUAAUACAUUUUGUAUAUUAGGCCUUGGCCCUGGCUCCAAUUUAGAUUACCACUUUUUCUCCCCAAUUUGUCCCUCUCUUUGACCUUUAAACUUACUUCUAAUUAAAUUUUUGUGUGCGUAUCUUAGUAAGCCCUGUUAGAUCCUUGUUGCAGCAAUGAACAUAAGCAAUGUAAUAAACAGAAAGAAUGACAUUCAGUGCACAUAUUGAAUCAUCCUGUGUGUGUAGAAUCCCAAGUGCAUUUCAUUUCAGACACAAGACAUAUUUCGCACAUUUCAAAAUGCAGUAAAUGAUUCAUAGAAUGCUAUUUUAGAAGCUUUCCUUAGGAAACUGUACCACGUGGCAUAACUCACCUACCCCAGUAGUGUGAUCUCCCUUUGGUCCUGUGUAGGAAGUGGGAGUUUCUCCUCUCCUCCUGUGCCAGCUGCUCCGGUUUCUUUUCUCUUGAGUAAAUGCACAUUCAUCUUGCUCGAAAGUACACUCUCCAGGUGGAGGUAGAAGUUUCUCUGCAAGGAAAUGGUAGGUGUUGCAAUUGCUGUGACACUCUCAAUGACUCUGUUGCUAGCAGCCCACUAUGCAUGUAUGAAUGCUGUCUUCACAUAUGGCAUAUGAUGGCAGCCCACAUAUGGCAUGUGAUGGAGAGGCAAACCCCACUGGUGGCCCACCUACACAAAGCCAUUGCUUCCAGCUGGAGGCUGCACUCCACUGUGGGUCCUGCCACAGACACAGAGAAUAAUCAGAGAUAUAGAUCUAAAAUAAUAGAAUACUUUGAGAAAAAACUUUCUCUGACUUGUGAAUUUGUGUGAAUUUCUUUUUCUAUCACUCCAGAAUUUAGAGGUAUAUUGCCUUUAUGAAAAUAUGGAAAAUAAUAAAUUAUAUAAUGCAGGCGCUUUCUUCAGAAAUCCUAGAUGAGUGAAGGGUAUCCUCAUAACAACUCCACAGGUGAAGGAUACACCGUAACAACUUUGGAGGUGGAGGAGAAUGUGAGAGUGCUUAAAUGGACUUCUGGAGGCAUAGCUACGUGGAACAAAUGACUUCAUUUCUCUGUGCCUUACAGUUCUUAUCUGUAAUGUGGGAAUAUUAAUGGUAGUCACUUCAUGGGUCUGUGAGGAUUAAAUGAGAUGGUAUACAUAAAGUGAUAAUUUUGAAUAUAAAGUUCUCAAUAAUUAAAUUUUAGAACUUAUUUUGCCAUCCAGAGCUUUAUUUUCCAUUUCCCAAAUCCAAUGUCUCUGUCUUUGAAUCCUGUCUUCAAUAACAUUCAUAAUUAUUAUUAGAGUGGUGCUUCUUCCCAAUUUAUUGGGGACUUCUCCUUUGACUAAACUUGGUUAUACCUCCCUACAUCCAGAUUCUUAGCAAAUUUUUCUAAUAAACAGCUUGUUU